rnacentral:rRNA from 1 species
CCAACCCGAUGCAAACUGCGAAUACCGGAGAAUGUUAUCACGGGAGACACACGGCGGGUGCUAACGUCCGUCGUGAAGAGGGAAACAACCCAGACCGCCAGCUAAGGUCCCAAAGUCAUGGUUAAGUGGGAAACGAUGUGGGAAGGCCCAGACAGCCAGGAUGUUGGCUUAGAAGCAGCCAUCAUUUAAAGAAAGCGUAAUAGCUCACUGGUCGAGUCGGCCUGCGCGGAAGAUGUAACGGGGCUAAACCAUGCACCGAAGCUGCGGCAGCGACGCUUAUGCGUUGUUGGGUAGGGGAGCGUUCUGUAAGCCUGUGAAGGUGUGCUGUGAGG